rnacentral:tRNA from 1 species
GGCAGCGUCGCAUAACGGUCAUUGCGAGAGUCUUAAAAACUCUUGUCUUAGCAGGCUUCUGGGUUCGAUUCCCAGCGCUGCCG